UGAACGCUGGCGGCGUGCCUAACACAUGCAAGUCGAGCGGUAACAGGUGUAGCAAUACAUGCUGACGAGCGGCGAACGGGUGAGUAAUGCUUCGGAAUCUGCCCAAUGGUGGGGAAUAACCAGCCGAAAGGUUGGCUAAUACCGCAUAAGUCCUACGGGGGAAAGCAGGGGAUCGCAAGACCUUGCGCCGAUGGAUGAGCCGAAGUCGGAUUAGCUAGUUGGUAGGGUAACGGCCUACCAAGGCGACGAUCCGUAGCUGGUCUGAGAGGACGACCAGCCACACUGGGACUGAGACACGGCCCAGACUCCUACGGGAGGCAGCAGUGGGGAAUAUUGGACAAUGGGGGAAACCCUGAUCCAGCGACGCCGCGUGUGUGAAGAAGGCCUGCGGGUUGUAAGGCACUUUUAGUGGGGAUGAAAAGCUCAGGGCUAACACCUCUGGGUCUUGACCUAACCCACAGAAAAAGCACCGGCUAACUCUGUGCCAGCAGCCGCGGUAAUACAGAGGGUGCGAGCGUUAAUCGGAAUUACUGGGCGUAAAGCGUGCGUA
rnacentral:rRNA from 1 species